rnacentral:rRNA from 1 species
UACGAAGGGGGCUAGCGUUGCUCGGAAUCACUGGGCGUAAAGGGCGCGUAGGCGGCCAUUCAAGUCGGGGGUGAAAGCCUGUGGCUCAACCACAGAAUUGCCUUCGAUACUGUUUGGCUUGAGUUUGGUAGAGGUUGGUGGAACUGCGAGUGUAGAGGUGAAAUUCGUAGAUAUUCGCAAGAACACCAGUGGCGAAGGCGGCCAACUGGACCAAUACUGACGCUGAGGAGCGAAAGCGUGGGGAGCAAACAGG